rnacentral:rRNA from 1 species
AUGUAUAGGAAAUACGAUAAGAGGACUAUGCCUUAUAACUUUGCAAAAAUGUGUCAUGCAAUGGAUAGACAGGAAUACUUUUUUUCUGAAAUGAUAGACAGGAAUACUUGCCAUGCUUGGUUUGAAGAACCACACUGUGGAUUGAUAAUACCACAGGUGGACAGGCUGCUAGCUAUCUAUGUUCUUUAUUCUAGCAUGAUACAUUGGCCUCCAUAUAGUGCUAUGCCAUGUCAGCUAGGUGAUGUCGAACUGCUGCUUCUGGAAUCUGAAAGUACACCGCUAUGCAUGUUGCAGGCAAUUAACUCUUCUACAACAGAAACUAUCUGGAAGCAGCAGCUCACUAUACGGAAGCCCUGA